CCUCCAACCAUAAGCCCCUGUUCUCGUCCAUUAUAGAAUUCUGGCUCUGAGACAACUUCAAAAGAGCUCCAACCGUAUGUCCCUAUUCUCCUCCAAUAUAU